CCCUCUCGCCGCUUGCCUCGCCCAGCGCAGCCCCGGCCGCUGGGCGCACCCGUCCCGUUCGUCCCCGGACGUUGCUCUCUACCCCGGGAACGUCGAGACUGGAGCGCCCGAACUGAGCCACCUUCGCGGACCCCGAGAGCGGCGGCGCGACUCACCGCGGAGGCGCCCGGACGCGUCAAAAUACACUCCACACCUCGGGACUCCAUAAUAUUGGACAAGGCUGGAAGGCCCAUUUGGCUCCUGCAGCCUCUUAUGCAGGAGGACCUCCUGAGGCUUCGGGCAGGAGCUGGUGCACACCUGGAGGAGAGUGCUGGUGAAUGGCAGGUGUGUGCCUCAGUGUCCUUGCUGCCAGGGUGUCAGCCCUGCUUCACCACUGGCCGUUUGUCUCUGUCCCCUCCACUGGCCUCUUGAAGCACAGAGACCCUCCGGGUACUUUCCUUCCUCUGGGCUUCCACUCAUGCUAUUCCCUGCUCCCUUUUUCUACCUGGAGACCCCCAUUCCUCCUCCUCCUCUGCUGCCCUCACCUCCACCUGGGCCCUCCCAGCUCCCGGGAGAUGGCUGAACCCCACUCCCCACCCGCUAGUCAUCCUCUUCAGCGGUCCUCCCAGAGCUGUCCUCAGCAUGGCAGCCUCCACAGCCCCUGGGUGUCACCCCCGGUUUCGUGUCUGCCUCGGACUCCAGACCUGCCCCUCCCAGGCUGGCCCAGAUGGAUCCUCUACAGUGACUAACCCAAACCAGCACCAGGCAGGGACCCAAUAAACCUUUGUGAAUGGAG
ensembl:lncRNA DIO3OS DIO3 opposite strand upstream RNA